UACGUACUCCCUCCGUUCCAAAUUACUCGUCGCUGAAAUGGAUGUAUCUAGAACUAAAAUACAUCUAGAUACAUCCAUAUGUGCGACAAGUAAUUCGGAACGGAGGGAGUAUUUA
rnacentral:pre_miRNA from 1 species